CGCAAGGGGCCGGGGCCCAAAGGCGCGGUCCAGGAGUCCGGGGUGGUCGGGCGUGGAGCCACGCGACUCCUCGGGCCGGGUGCCGGCUGGGCGCCCGCGGGGACUGGCCCGGCGCCACGCGCGGUGGCAAGUAGGCCUGAGGCUCUUGCUCCCGCUUCACGGAGCAGCCGAGGUCCACACUCGUUUAUAAUGCCAACCGCGGGCGCAGCUGCCUGUCCGAGCUGGCCUGUCCGUUUCCCGCGUCACAGGCCCCGCUUGCUUCCGAGCAGAUGAGACCCAGGAUUUGGAAGGCAAAACAAACAAAUAAACAAACAAAUAUGAACAGGGCAGAUUUGGGACCUUCACAAAGGGUGCCAAAGUUAAGAAAGGCUGAAAGAAUGAAUCUUGGGGGAAUGUUUGUCUCUGCGCCUGGCUGGCCCCGCUCCUGCCAGAACUCCUCACAUCUUCACAAUAGGAGCCAUUUUGCAAAGGCUGAGAUGAAAGCUCAGAGAGAAUGAGCAACUCGCCCAAGUUCAUGUUGCUGCAAAAUGAUAGAAUUGGAGAUGGGUGCCAGACUGCAACCUAGGAGGAAACACUGAAGUGUUUUUUCCCCCGACAUCAUACUAAAUAAACCAAGGCAGUGCCUCCCCCUGUGCUCUCUUUGCUGCCUCUGCCCCCAGUCUCUGUCCUGCUCUCUCUCCUCUUGGUGUCUCUGAAGAGAGAAAAGGGAGAAGGAGAAGCUGCCCCUGAGAGGCUCCUCAGAUGUUCAGGGGGAAGCUGUUCUUGGGUGUACACUGGCAGUGAUUCCUUUUGAAAAGGCAGCAGCAUUGAACUGCCCAAGGUCAGAGAUGCCCAGAGCUGUGGACUUGGGGAAGUGCCAGGGAAGGUGGCAGUGUGCUGUUUCCAAGCUGCACGGGAGCAUUUCGUGCUUGUGUGUGAGUGUAUGUUUGAGGAUUCCUGCGUCCUCAUCCCCACUCCCUGGCAGUGCUCACAGAUGAAGGAGAUGGUCAAGAUGCAGAUUUGGACACUUUGGAACAUCGCAUGGACUAAGUACAAUAGUGAACAAAUAACAACCUUGAAGACUUUUUACCCCAAGUGAAGUAUGUGAGAGUGAUCUUGGGUGGCAUGGCAUCCAGCCUCUGAGACAAAUAUCACCAGCACACCUGGGGAGAGAGCUGUCGCCCUUUCCAAUGCUGAGUAGGACCAGGAGAAAUCACCUUUUGUGGAAGCAACACUUUAGCAACUUUUCAACAAGAGCUACAGUGCCCUUUCAACAGAGAGUGUGGACCCUGUGUUGGAUUCUGAUCCAGGAGCCUUAAACAUGUAAACUCACUCAAUCCUGUUACAUACUGCCCAUGGCAAAGCGUCUGGUGUGUGGUGAGGUGAAUUAUUCAAUGUCACAUAUGGAGUGACUGGCAGAUCCAGGAUGAGGACUCAGAUUCUCUCAGUUCUGUGGAAAUCAACAGAGAUCAGCCAGAUGAGAAAAAUGAAGGCUAUUUAUCCUGAACUAGCUAUAGAAAGGGGAGUCAUCCACCAAAUCUUAUUUGUAGAUGAUAUAUAUAUCAUUUGUAUACUCAGCCUGUCAGUUCAGUUCUCUUCCUUCUAAAUCAGGGGUGGCAAACUUUCCGUAAAGGGACAGAUAGAAAGUAUGGUCAGCUUUACGAGCUAUACAGUCUCUGCUGUGAUUACUCAACACUGACAUUUUAGCACAAAAGCAGCUCUGGACAAUAUGUAAACAAGUGGAUUUGGCUGUGUUCCAACAAAACUUUAUUUAUAAAAACAGGGAGCAGGCUUGAAUUGGCCACAGGGCUGCACUUUGCUGACCCCCGUUCCAUGGUAAAGAGUACACAAAACCAACAAAUGUGCAUAUGACAGCUGCCUCCUGUGCUGUGACUCAUUUCCUUUAGUCCUGUUUUCAUGCCAUUGAAGCCGUGAUCACUGUGGUCUAGUUUCUGAGUGACCGUUCAACAACCAAAAAAUUUUAAAAAGUUCCAUUCAAGAAGCAUCGUUCAACAACCAAAAAAUUUUAAAAAGUUCCAUUAUUUUUUCCUUCCUCUCAAAGGAUGUUACUUAAUAACUGAAGUGAUAUUUCUUAUAAUUUUUUCCAUCCCCGUUCUCCUAUAGCUCAUACUCCUCCCCUUUUCAGAACCUCUUUUUUUGUCAAGCAUCCCCCCCCCCCAAAAAAAACACUCUCUUGCACAGUGAAUCAGCACAGGGUACCAUCUUCCUUUUAAUACAUCACAUGUCAGGGACACCUGGUUGGCUCAGCGGUUGAGCAUCUGCCUUGGGCUCAGGGCGUGAUCCUGGGAUCCCGGAUGGAGUCCUGCAUUGGGCUCCCUGUGGGGAGUCUGCUUCUCCCUCUGCCUAUGUCUCUGCCCCUCUUUCUCUCUCUGUGUCGCUCAUGAAUAAAUAAAUACAUCUUUAAAAAAAAUAUUACAUGUCAGGCAAGAGCUGGUAAGGGCAAUGUUAUUAAAUUGGUAUAGAUCCUGGCUCUGCCACUUACUAGUCUGUGACCUUGGUCUGUCCUUAGCCUGGUCCCCUUGUGUUUGCAACAUGGCUGCCACAGUUCCAGGCAUCACACAGAGAUGAAAAAAAUAUAUAUCCCGAAGAAGUAGAGAUAAUUUCUCCCUUGUAAUCCUUUGAAAGUGAAUCAUCUCCCAGAAGCUUCCAGGCUGACUCAUCUUCAUAUUUCAUUGGCCCAAUUGUAUCACAUGCUCACAUCUAAGUCCACAUGAGUAAGGGGAAUGCGACACCAUGUCUGGUUUAGAUUAGAGUUGAUUAGAUUAAGGUGGAAUCCCCUGCUGAGAUUGGGGGUCCAUUCUGCCUUUUCUGACACACAUGGCCUUAUAGAGGAGGGAGGAUGUGAAGGAGCAAAGCUGAGCUUCUGUAGGAAAGAUGAAGGAGAGGGGUCAGUACUAAGAAGCCAACCAGCUGUGUCUUUAGCGAGAGGCAAAGAGGUGGGGAAGGAAUUGACUAGAGAGAAAAGGUGACAGGAGAAAACUGAGGGCCUAUAAGGAAUUUAUCUCUAGGUUUCUAACUUUCCUUAAAAUAGAAACAGUCAAGGGUUUCUUUUCAUGGCAGACAGAAGGCUUGGAUUUGUUGAUGGAGAGCUGCCUCCCAUCUUUCCCUGAACACAUCAUGCAUCAGGCCAGGAUGGAUAACAACAACAUUGUCAAAUUGGCAAAGCUGGUCUGCCUGUCUUCUCUUCCACCCAAUUUGAUAACUGCUUUCACUCUUUCCCCCAGUCUUACCUUCCUGUGUCCAAGGACCUUGCAUGCUUCGCCAUGAACUCACAACGAGGGAACGCUGGCUGCAGAGAGGGGCAGAUCUGAGUAUGAAUCCUGGCUCUGACACUUAUUAGUCUGUGACCUUGGGUAUGUCACUUAACAGUGAUGAAAAUUAGUUACUCAUCUGUGAUGAGCGAAGAUGUCUGCUUUCCUUACUUAUGCAGUAGCUGUGAGGAUUAAAUGGAAUUUUUCAGUGCCUAUGGCAGUGAUCAUUACGGGAAGUUUUCCUGACGACCUCAUUUCCACUCCCUGAAGGUGGCUUAACUGAAGGUGGGUGAGCUCAGAUGUGCCUCCUUGACAGAGACCAUCAAAGUAUGGCUUGCAGCCACAGAAGGAGUCAGGUGCAUGGCUGGAACAUGUUUUGAAGUGCAGGGGCCUGCAUUCACAUCCUGGACUUGCUGCACAGCUGGACAUCACUGGGAAAUUUACCAAACUAUUCUGCUAGUUGCUUCCUCUCAUCUGUUAAAUGGGGAUGUUUUUGCCAACCUCACAAGGUUGCUGGGUGGGUUAUAAUGCAGUUCCUGGAAGCAUUAAAAAUGGAGUUUCUAUCUCUUGUUUGGCCAUUCACAAUGGGAGGAUAUUCCUGGAGGUUCCUGGAGGAGCAGAACUUAGGAGAAAUCUGGUACCAUUGCAUCUUAUGUAUUACACUCAGAGAAGUUACAUGAGGCAAAAAGGGCUUUUAAAGUGACUUUGAGACUCCUAACUCUGGAAAACGAA